rnacentral:ncRNA from 12 species
AGCAUUUGAAGUAGAGAUUGUGCUGCUACACACCCUCUGGGUCAAAAGAAAUGCGGGAAGGGGCACACCCGCCGGAUGCA